rnacentral:lncRNA from 1 species
AAACAUCAAAAGGAAUUCAAGCUCACUUGGUCAUAGUCUGGACAUCACAUUUUUAUAGGAACAAAGGAAGAUGUGGUAUGCCCUUCACAUGUGCUCAUAUUAAAAAUUUACUAGAUGGUUACGACUAAAAGGAAAAGAAGUUCCUUUGAAUGAAGGAAAGUCACCUUUUCCUGCAGAUAAAUUUUAGACCAUCACUCACUGAGUUUUCAGCAAGUGGAUCAUAUUGCCUUUUCUUUUUCAACUCCUUAUAUAAAAUGAAUCACAGGAUAUCCGACGUUGGAAGGGACCCACAAGGAUCAUCAAGUCUGACUCCUGAAAUUUUGGGCUAAAUACUUUACUUUUUAAAAAAAGAACAGCAGGUAAGUAAUUGUAUAAAAAGGAAAUUUGUUCCCAUGUUAUGGAUCCUUAUACCUGCAAAUUUUGUUCAUACAGACGACAAGUUGCAUACACAUAUGUACUUGUCCAUCAGUAAUAACUUUGCUGGCUUGCUUUCACAUUGGCAUUUCACAUUUUAUUUUGAGUAAGCAUUAGUUAUUUGUGAGAGAGAUGCUUAUUUAUUUAUUUAAAAUGAACUUUUCAUUAAUGUCCUUAUAUGCCUGUUUUUCGUCUUUUCAAAAGGUGCCUGUUAAUGUUACGGUGU